AUGGCGGGCACGGGCUUGGUGGCUGAAGAAGUUGUGGUGGACGCGCUGCCGUAUUUUGAUCAAGGUUACGAAGCACCUGGUGUGAGGGAAGCGGCUGCGGCGCUGGUGGAGGAGGACACCCGCAGGUAUCGACUAACUAAAAACUACCUGAGCUACCUGACAGCCCCAGAUUAUUCUGCUUUUGAAACUGACAUAAUGAGAAAUGAAUUUGAAAGACUGGCUGCUCGACAACCAAUUGAAUUGCUCAGUAUGAAACGAUAUGAGCUUCCAGCCCCUUCCUCAGGUCAGAAAAGUGACAUUACUGCAUGGCAAGAAUGUGUAAACAAUUCUAUGGCCCAGUUAGAGCACCAAGCAGUUCGAAUUGAGAAUCUGGAACUAAUGUCACAGCAUGGAUGUAAUGCCUGGAAAGUAUAUAAUGAAAAUCUGGUUCAUAUGAUUGAACAUGCACAGAAAGAGCUUCAGAAGUUAAGAAAACAUAUUCAGGAUUUAAACUGGCAGCGAAAGAACAUGCAACUCACAGCUGGAUCUAAAUUGAGAGAAAUGGAAUCAAAUUGGGUAUCCCUGGUCAGUAAGAAUUAUGAGAUUGAACGGACUAUUGUGCAACUAGAAAAUGAAAUCUAUCAAAUCAAGCAGCAACAUGGAGAGGCAAACAAAGAAAACAUCCAUCAAGACUUCUGAAAAGACAAAUUAAUUUUGAGGAUAGAAAGGAAGAAAGUUGGGCUUUCACAGAAGGCAUCUGAACUUUCUCUGAACUAUGAAGGACGACAGCAUUUCACAGAGACAGUUGAUGGUUAAAUGUUUAGAAAUCACAGAAUAUGUGAACUCUUGUGUUAAUUCUAUUUGUAUAUCUUAGGAAAAAUAAAAAUUUCUAAGUUGGUGGUAUUUUUAUAAAAA